UUGUGGAAAAUAGCUAUAGGUUUUGCUUCUUUUUUUAAAGAUAAUUUGGCGAAAUUUUCUGAUCACCCAGAGCUAGCCCUUGUGUCAUUUUGAUAAAUUAUUUUCAGGGUCUUCUCUGUUUUCAAACUGAGGUGGUUAUAACCUGUAUUCAUUGUGUCUGUUAGUAUUAGCAGAGACUCAAAAUUUCUUUAAUUUAAUUUAUUUCAUUUGAUUUUAGAUUGAGCUGAUCACUUGGAACAGUUGUCGUGGAUGCCGAUACAACCAUUUCUAUUUUGCAUUAUACCAAAAGCUUGGACAUCUCUGCAUGGAACUUUUAAACACUGUCUGUUUAUCCGACUGAGAUCAUUUUCUCUAAAUAACAGCUCCAGACAGACAUUUGUAACAUUGCAACAUCUUCCACAAAGAAAAUUAUAUCCAUUACAAUCCAUACUUAAUGUCUGUAUUUUCUAUAAAACUUUAAAACCAAAACCCUUACCCAGUUCGUGUACUUCAUUAUCCUUGUGUCAUUCUGAUAUUUCUAACAUGACUGAAAAUAGAUAUGUCACGGGAUAUGCGAAACUUGGGACGUCAGGCUGUAAAAAAUGCAAGCAGAAAAUUGCCAAAGGAGGGCUGCGUAUUGGCAAAGUGGUAUCCAAUCCGUUUUCUGAUGAAGGAGGCGACAUGAAACAGUGGUAUCACCCACAAUGCAUCUUUGAAACAUUUGUCAGAGCUCGAGCGACAACGAAAAAGAUCGAAGACCCAGAUGACCUGGAGGGUUUCGAUGACCUGGAGCAGAGUGAUAAAGAUGCAAUCAGCAAAUUAAUUUCAGAUUUCUUGGCCAAGGCUAAUUUGAAAUCUCCUGCCAAGAAGAAGGCUGUAGUGCAAGCGAAACUACCAUUCACGCCAAGUCCAGUGAAGAAAAAACAAGAAACCGAAGAUGCAAAUGACAAAAAUGGCCAUGUCCCAAAAGUUGUCGACGCUUCAACCGAGCGUGAUAAUUCGUUCCGGCAGUUCCGCCGACUGUGCGCCAACAUCGCCGAGGAGAGUAGCUACACGGAGAAGACGAGGAUUGUCAGUGACUACAUCAAGAAUGGGAACGACGGAGAUGGUUUCAAAGGAGACUUGCAUUUAGUAAUCAAAUUUCUGUUGCCGGGCGUCAUGAAAACUGUUUACAAUCUCAACAACAAGCAGUUGGUCAAACUCUUCAGUCAGAUAUUUGGAACAAACCUACAAGAAAUGGUGGAAGACUUAGAUCAGGGAGACGUAGCAGAGACUGUGAAGAUUUUCUUUGAAAAAAGUAAAAAGGUUUUACCCGAGAAGAAAAGCUUGCUUAGUUUACAAGAGGUAGACGAGUUUCUCACCGAUCUGUCGCAGGUAACCAGAGAGGAUGAUCAACAGAGAAUUCUCAAAAGGAUUGCAAACAAAUGUACGGGUAAUGAUUUAAAGAUGGUCGUACGGCUCAUAAAACACGACCUGAGAAUCAACGCUGGUGCCAAACACAUCCUCGAGGGUUUGGACCCGAAUGCGUAUGAAGCGUUUCAGGCGUCCCGCAACUUACAUGACGUGGUCAAGCGAGUGAUGAGCAACGCCACCGAAUCAAAACCGGGGAUGACAAAGAAACUCAGCAUCCGAGCCAACUUGAUGACGCCCGUUCUACCAAUGUUGGCUGAAGCUUGCCGGUCGGUUGAGCAGGCGAUGAGGAAAUGUCCGAAUGGAUUUUACGCCGAGAUCAAGUACGAUGGGGAGAGAGUGCAGGUCCAUAAGAAAGGAGACGAUUUCCGCUACUUCAGUCGCAGUUUGAAGCCUGUCAUGGCACACAAGGUUGCCCACUUCAAGGACUACAUUCCGAAAGCGUUUGAGUCGGGUGAUGAUCUGAUUCUGGACUCAGAGGUUCUCCUGGUUGAUACGAACACUGGGAAACCGAUGCCGUUUGGAACUCUGGGAGUACACAAGAAAGCUGCGUUCAAAGAUGCCCAAGUCUGUCUCUUCAUUUUUGAUUGUCUUCACAUCAAUGGAGAAAACCUGAUGGACAAACCUAUCAAGAAGCGCCGGGCCAUACUGCAACAAGAGAUGAAGGAAAUUCCCAACAGAAUAAUGUUUUCUGAAUAUGAGCAUGUUACAAAACCCAAUGAUCUUCAGGCCAUGAUGAACAAAGUUUUCCGAGAAGGUCUAGAAGGACUUGUUCUUAAGGAUGUAAAUAGUAUUUAUGAACCGGGCAAACGUCACUGGCUGAAGGUGAAGAAGGAUUACCUUCAUCAGGGCAGCAUGGCCGACUCCGCGGAUCUCAUCGUGCUGGGAGGCUACUUCGGAACGGGAAAUAAAGGAGGUAUCAUGUCAGUGUUUUUAAUGGGUGUGUACGACCCAGUUACGUCUAAAUUCUGCACGGUUACCAAGUGCGGCAGUGGUUUGGAUGACGACAUGUUGGAACGACUUCAGAAGGACCUCGACAUGGUGAAAAUCAGCAAAGACUUCAGCAGGAUCCCAUCAUGGCUGAACAUAAAGAAACCCCUAACCCCAGAUUUCGUCGUCGCCGACCCCAAGAAGGCCCCGAUUUGGGAGAUUAUCGGGGCCGAGUUCAGUAAGGCGGAGGUUCACACUGCUGACGGGAUUUCUAUUCGGUUUCCACGGAUACAGAAGUUCAGGGAUGAUAAGACAUGGGAAACGGCGACAAAUCUUCAAAGAUUAAAGAAAUUGUUCAAAGAAUCAAAAGAAAAGACGGACAUCAUUGUUACCGUGCCAUCUAAAAAAGGCGAAAAUGGAAGUGAUACUGAAGAGGCGGGAAGUGAUGAGAUGGAGACAUCGUCAACAGGGUCAGCAUCGACUGCCAAGACAUCGUCCUCUAGGAUACCAUCGUUGUCUACAACACCGAAAAAAGCCACAAAGAGAUCUGCAGGGGACGAAUCUCCUGAAUCAACUCCAAACAAAAAGUCCAAGCCAAUGUGUGCGUAUGGUGUGAAAUGUUAUCAAACGAAUCCUGCACACGUAGACAGUUUUGAUCAUCCACCGGGGUACAAAACGCCACAGAAGACUCCAACAAAACCUUCAACACCAGAGAGCUCCAAUAGCAAGAAGCUGCCUGACGUUUUUCAAGGCUGUAAGAUUCUUCUACCAUCCGACACGGAGCAAUUCAAGCAGCUCAAGAGAUACAUUAUUGCCUUUGAUGGCGAUUUGGUUCCCGAAUUUGACCAGUAUGCAGCAACCCACAUUGUUACCUCAAAAGGAAAGUCCUCUGAAUCUUCGAUGAAAUCCAAGCUUGUGACGGCCGACUGGUUGUGGGACUGCAUCAAGAAAAAGAGAUUGCUCUCUGUCAGCUCAUACCAACCGUGACUGCACUGAAGCUGUUGGCUUAAACUGACAGUGGCGUAUCUAUGUAAAAUAGCACCUAUGGCAAGCACUGAAAUUGUGCCCCAGUCCAUACAUCUGACACCCAUCUUUUAGAUAACGUCUGACUUUAAUAGAAACAGCUCAGUGGCGCCCCCCUUAAAGUGGCGCCCAGGGCACGUACCAUACCUGCCAUACCCUUUAGGUAUGCCACUGCUGACAAAGCUAUUCUUUAUUCAUAAACACUUCUGUAGGAACCCUGGGUUUAAGGCUGGUAGGUCCUGGGUUCGUGUCCCAGUACCGAAUCUUAAAUCAAGAGUGAGUUAGCUUUUUCUUUUUUUUUUAAGACAUCUCUAGAGAACAUUGAUUUAAUGGAUUUAUUAAUCAUCGGCUAUUGCAUGUCGUCAGACACCAAAUAGUCGUAGUUUAAAAUGUGCUCAUUUUUGUCAUUAAGCAAACAUUUUCUUUCCUCUCCUAAUUCGACAGAGUGUUACGAAAAAAACACCAUAAUAAUUAUAUUAGACAAUAAGGGUUGAAGUUACAAAGGAUGUUUUUGUCUUACAUUUACAAUGCUUAAACACUGUGUUUAAGAAAAUCAGGAUUUGUAAAUUAAUGAUUAUACAUUCCUUUUCUUUUCUUCCCAUUAAUCCUGGCACCUAGCAGUAUACUGGAAGCAGUAUAUUCAUACUACUGGGAAAAGAAUAUUUUUAUAUUACCAGAAGCAGUAUGUUCAUGCUGCUGAGAUCAGUAUAUUCAUAUCACUGGGAGCAGUAUAGUCGUACUACCGAGCACAGUAUAGUCAUAAUACUGGAAGCAGUAUAUAUUCAUAUUACUGAGAGCAGUACAUACAUACAUAAAUACAGUUUGGAGCAGUAUAUAGUAUUACCAGUAUAUUCAUUAGCAUUAGCAGUAUCUUCAUACUACUAGAAGCACUAUAUUAUACCACUGGAAGCAGUAUAUUCAUACUACUGGAAGCAGUAUAUUCAUACCACUGGAAGCAGUAUAUUCAUACUACUAGAAGCACUAUAUUCAUACCACUGGAAGCAGUAUAUUCAUACCACUGGAAGCAGUAUAUUCAUACCACUAGAAGCAGUAUAUUCAUACCACUGGAAGCAGUAUAUUCAUACCACUGGAAGCAGUAUAUUCAUACCACUGGAAGCAGUAUAUUCAUACUACUAGAAGCAGUAUAUUCAUACUACUGGAAGUAGUAUAUUCAUACUACUGGAAGCAGUAUAUUCAUACUACUGCCUGCAAUAUUUUCAUAUUACUGACUGCCAUACCACUGGGACCAAUAUACUGCCAAGAUUGGGAAAUGACCCUAAUGCUUACUAGCCUUAAACCCAUCGCCAUGGUGCCAUCAAAACCAGUUGUACCAUUAUUCAAUUGGUUGCAUUUCUAAUCAUGUAUAACUAUAGUAUUUGUUGUGAUUGGUGGGGGUGUGGAAAAAAACACAGUAGUUGCUAAUUAACAAACAAUGUAUGUAAGUAUGAUAGGGAGGUGGUAGGUCCUGCUAAUUAACAAACAAUGUAUGUAAGUAUGAUAGGGAGGUGGUAGGUCCUGCUAAUUAACAAACAAUGUAUGUAAGUAUGAUAGGGAGGUGGUAGGUCCUGUUUAUUAACAAACGAUGUAUGUAAGUAUGAUAGGGAGGUGGUAGGUCCUGCUAAUUAACAAACGAUGUAUGUAAGUAUGAUAGGGAGGUGGUAGGUCCUGCUAAUUAACAAACGAUGUAUGUAAGUAUGAUAGGGAGGUGGUAGGUCCUGCUUAUUAACAAACAAUGUAUGUAAGUAUGAUAGGGAGGUGGUAGGUCCUGCUAAUUAACAAACAAUGUAUGUAAGUAUGAUAGGGAGGUGGUAGGUCCUGCUAAUUAACAAACAAUGUAUGUAAGUAUGAUAGGGAGGUGGUAGGUCCUGCUAAUUAACAAACAAUGUAUGUAAGUAUGAUAGGGAGGUGGUAGGUCCUGCUAAUUAACAAACAAUGUAUGUAAGUAUGAUAGGGAGGUGGUAGGUCCUGCAUUCAGAUAUUUUAACUAUUUUAUAACACUUGCAUUUAUUGAGCCAUUUACAUCUUUCCUCUCUGUACAUACUCUGUAUGUGAUGUGUGCCCACCCCACCCUCUCUGGGUAUACCUUUAUAAACACCCCCUUACAAAUCAAUUUAUUGGUAAACCUGUAUCCUAACUGGAUGUGUGCGACACGAGCGAUUUGUUUUAGAAACCAUUGAUUUCAAUUGCUGCAUCCUAACCGCAUGCAUAUGGUGCAACAGAUUGAUGUAGUCGAGAGCUCGACAAAAUACCGAUAGGAAUUGUUUCUAUUUUUUGUUGCGCGACAUGAGCGACAAACAUAUAUUAACUAAUCAAACAACUUUUACCUGCCUGUUUCAACUGCUCAUAACAAUUUUAAAACAAAGACUGUCGUUAUGGUGGCGUCUGGUUAGGAUAUAAAUAUUAUCGCGUCGCACAUGUCCAGUUAGGACACAGUUUUACACAUUUCACAUGAAUCGCAUUAUCAAUAUCUGUAUUCAUUUCAAGUAAAACACCUUCCAUGCUUCUUCAUUCUGUUUUUGAGUUUAUGCCAGUUCUUUUGUUUCGAUGUCCAGGCCCAUAGGAAUGAUAUCUGGAGUUUGGGGGGAGGGGGUGCUAAUCUCUAUGGGGGGAGGUGGGUGGUAAUCUCUAUUGAUGGAGGGUGGGAUGUAGCCCAAUGGUAAAACACUCGCUUGAUGUGUGGUCGGUCUCUGAUCGAUACCCGU
rnacentral:misc_RNA from 1 species